CACGAAUUUGAUUCUCAGCCCCCACUGUGAAACUCACAAUUGUCUAUACUCUAGUUCCAGAGAAUCAGACUUCCUAGAUGUGCGUGUGGUGAACAGACAUCUGUACAGGCAAAAUACCAAUACACAUAAUAAAAUAAAUUAAAACAUGAUAUUUGGAAUAAUAGUGACAUUAUUUUCUGUUUUAUUAUAGUUUCUUGAGGAUUGAAAACAUUAAAAGAAGUUAUGUUGGACUACACACAGAUACACGUGCAUACAAAGACAUCGCUAGCUAUUAAUUACCAUCUUUUAAGCCCAGAUGUUUCUUCAUACUACACCAUGAGCAACAGGACACAGAACCCUGUGCAAACAGAAAGUGUGGGGGAAAACCUGGAGGCUAUCAGCCACUUAAAAGAAAGGUGAAAGCAAACACUUCUGAUAAGGCAUGGAUGAGAAAGAAAUGAAAGUCCAAUCUGAAGAUGAAAAGCCAGCACAGCACAGGUGAGCAUGGUGGCCAUUUUUAUGAAUGCCAUGAGAAACUUCAUCGUAGCUCAGGAUUUUGUCCCAUGUGGCAUUGUGUUGAGAGCUGCAUAAGCC
rnacentral:lncRNA from 1 species